UGAGCAAUCUGCCCUUCUCAUCGGAAUAAGCGUUGGAAACGACGUCUAAUGCCGAAUACGACCUCCUUUCGCAUGAUCGGAGGUGGAAAGCUCCGGCGGAGAAGGAUGAGCUCGCGGCCUAUCAGCUAGUUGGUGUGGGUAAUGGCCCACCAAGGCGACGACGGGUAGCCGGCCUGAGAGGGUGACCGGCCACACUGGGACUGAGACAUGGCCCAGACUCCUAGGGAGG
rnacentral:rRNA from 1 species